rnacentral:rRNA from 1 species
AUUGAACGCUGGCGGCAGGCUUAACACAUGCAAGUCGAGCGGAGAGAGGUAGCUUGCUACCGAUCUUAGCGGCGGACGGGUGAGUAAUGCUUAGGAAUCUGCCUAUUAGUGGGGGACAACAUUUCGAAAGGAAUGCUAAUACCGCAUACGUCCUACGGGAGAAAGCAGGGGAUCUUCGGACCUUGCGCUAAUAGAUGAGCCUAAGUCGGAUUAGCUAGUUGGUGGGGUAAAGGCCUACCAAGGCGACGAUCUGUAGCGGGUCUGAGAGGAUGGUCCGCCACACUGGGACUGAGACACGGCCCAGACUCCUACGGGAGGCAGCAGUGGGGAAUAUUGGACAAUGGGCGCAAGCCUGAUCCAGCCAUGCCGCGUGUGUGAAGAAGGCCUUAUGGUUGUAAAGCACUUUAAGCGAGGAGGAGGCUACUUUAGUUAAUACCUAGAGAUAGUGGACGUUACUCGCAGAAUAAGCACCGGCUAACUCUGUGCCAGCCGCCGCGGUAAUAC